rnacentral:rRNA from 1 species
AUUGAACGCUGGCGGCAUGCCUUACACAUGCAAGUCGAACGGUAACAGGUCUUCGGAUGCUGACGAGUGGCGAACGGGGGAGUAAUACAUCGGAAUGUGCCUAGGAGUGGGGGAUAACUACUCGAAAGAGUGGCUAAUACCGCAUGAGAUCUACGGAUGAAAGCCGGGGAUCGCAAGACCCUGUGCUACUAGAGCGGCCGAUGGCAGAUUAGGUAGUUGGUGGGAUAAAAGCUUACCAAGCCGACGAUCUGUAGCUGGUCUGAGAGGACGAUCAGCCACACUGGGACUGAGACACGGCCCAGACUCCUACGGGAGGCAGCAGUGGGGAAUUUUGGACAAUGGGCGCAAGCCUGAUCCAGCAAUGCCGCGUGCAGGAUGAAGGCCUUCGGGUUGUAAACUGCUUUUGUACGGAACGAAAAGCCCUGGGUUAAUACCCUGGGGUCAUGACGGUACCGUAAGAAUAAGCACCGGCUAACUACGUGCCAGCCGCCGCGGUAAUAC